rnacentral:rRNA from 1 species
UUGUCUCAAAGAUUAAGCCAUGCAUGUCUCAGUACAAGCCGAAUUAAGGUGAAACCGCGAAAGGCUCAUUAAAUCAGUUAUGGUUCCUUAGAUCGUACCCACAUUUACUUGGAUAACUGUGGUAAUUCUAGAGCUAAUACAUGCAAACAGAGCUCCAACCGGAAACGGAAGGAGCGCUUUUAUUAGAUCAAAACCAAUCGGUGGCGGAAUCCGUCAUCGUACAACUUGGUGACUCUGAAUAACUUUACGCUGAUCGCACGGUCUCGCACCGGCGACGCAUCUUUCAAAUGUCUGCCUUAUCAACUGUCGAUGGUAGGUUCUGCGCCUACCAUGGUUGUAACGGGUAACGGGGAAUCAGGGUUCGAUUCCGGAGAGGGAGCCUGAGAAACGGCUACCACAUCCAAGGAAGGCAGCAGGCGCGCAAAUUACCCACUCCCGGCACGGGGAGGUAGUGACGAAAAAUAACGAUACGGGACUCAUCCGAGGCCCCGUAAUCGGAAUGAGUACACUCUAAACCCUUUAACGAGGAUCAAUUGGAGGGCAAGUCUGGUGCCAGCAGCCGCGGUAAUUCCAGCUCCAAUAGCGUAUAUUAAAGUUGUUGCGGUUAAAAAGCUCGUAGUCGAAUCUGUGUCCCGCGCCGCCGGUUCAUCGUUCGCGGUGUUAACUGGCGUGCCGCGGGACGUCCUGCCGGUGGGCUUAGCUCGAGAGGGCGGCCCAACUCAAUCCCGCCGCGGUGCUCUUCAUUGAGUGUCGAGGUGGGCCGGCACGUUUACUUUGAACAAAUUAGAGUGCUUAAAGCAGGCUAAAACUUCGCCUGAAUACUGUGUGCAUGGAAUAAUGGAAUAGGACCUCGGUUCUAUUUUGUUGGUUUUCGGAACCCCGAGGUAAUGAUUAAUAGGAACGGAUGGGGGCAUUCGUAUUGCGACGUUAGAGGUGAAAUUCUUGGAUCGUCGCAAGACGGACAGAAGCGAAAGCAUUUGCCAAAAACGCUUUCAUUGAUCAAGAACGAAAGUUAGAGGUUCGAAGGCGAUCAGAUACCGCCCUAGUUCUAACCAUAAACGAUGCCAGCUAGCGAUCCGCCGACGUUCCUCCGAUGACUCGGCGGGCAGCUUCCGGGAAACCAAAGCUUUUGGGUUCCGGGGGAAGUAUGGUUGCAAAGCUGAAACUUAAAGGAAUUGACGGAAGGGCACCACCAGGAGUGGAGCCUGCGGCUUAAUU